rnacentral:rRNA from 1 species
GACGAACGCUGGCGGCGUGCUUAACACAUGCAAGUCGAACGGAAAGGCCCUGCUUUUGUGGGGUGCUCGAGUGGCGAACGGGUGAGUAACACGUGAGUAACCUGCCCUUGACUUUGGGAUAACUUCAGGAAACUGGGGCUAAUACCGGAUAGGAGCUCCUGCUGCAUGGUGGGGGUUGGAAUGUUUCGGCGGUUGGGGAUGGACUCGCGGCUUAUCAGCUUGUUGGUGGGGUAGUGGCUUACCAAGGCUUUGACGGGUAGCCGGCCUGAGAGGGUGACCGGCCACAUUGGGACUGAGAUACGGCCCAGACUCCUACGGGAGGCAGCAGUGGGGAAUAUUGCACAAUGGGCGGAAGCCUGAUGCAGCAACGCCGCGUGCGGGAUGAAGGCCUUCGGGUUGUAAACCGCUUUCGCCUGUGACGAAGCGUGAGUGACGGUAAUGGGUAAAGAAGCACCGGCUAACUACGUG